AGAGUUUGAUCCUGGCUCAGGAUGAACGCUAGCUACAGGCUUAACACAUGCAAGUCGAGGGGAAACGACAUCGAAAGCUUGCUUUUGAUGGGCGUCGACCGGCGCACGGGUGAGUAACGCGUAUCCAACCUGCCCACCACUUGGGGAUAACCUUGCGAAAGUAAGACUAAUACCCAAUGACGUCUCUAGAAGACAUCUGAAAGAGAUUAAAGAUUUAUCGGUGAUGGAUGGGGAUGCGUCUGAUUAGCUUGUUGGCGGGGUAACGGCCCACCAAGGCGACGAUCAGUAGGGGUUCUGAGAGGAAGGUCCCCCACAUUGGAACUGAGACACGGUCCAAACUCCUACGGGGACGGCA
rnacentral:rRNA from 1 species